AUUGAACGCUGGCGGCAUGCCUUACACAUGCAAGUCGAACGGCAGCACGGGUGCUUGCACCUGGUGGCGAGUGGCGAACGGGUGAGUAAUAUAUCGGAACGUACCUUAUUGUGGGGGAUAACGCAGCGAAAGCUGUGCUAAUACCGCAUAAUCCCUUAGGGGGAAAGCGGGGGACCGUAAGGCCUCGCGCAAUUAGAGCGGCCGAUACCUGAUUAGCUAGUUGGUGAGGUAAAGGCUCACCAAGGCGACGAUCAGUAGCUGGUCUGAGAGGACGGUCAGCCACACGGGGACUGAGACACGGCCCAGACUCCUCCGGGAGGCAGCAGUGGGGAAUUUUGGACAAUGGGGGCAACCCUGAUCCAGCAAUGCCGCGUGAGUGAAGAAGGCCUUCGGGUUGUAAAGCUCUUUUGUCAGGGAAGAAACAGCAGCUCUAACACAGUAUGCGAAUGACGGUACCUGAAGAAUAAGCACCGGCUAACUACGUGCCAGCCGCCGCAGUAA
rnacentral:rRNA from 1 species